rnacentral:rRNA from 1 species
UGGCGGACGGGUGAGUAAUGUCUGGGAAACUGCCUGAUGGAGGGGGAUAACUACUGGAAACGGUAGCUAAUACCGCAUAACGUCGCAAGACCAAAGAGGGGGACCUUAGGGCCUCUUGCCAUCGGAUGUGCCCAAAUGGGAUUAGCUUGUUGGUGGGGUAACGGCUCACCAAGGCGACGAUCCCUAGCUGGUCUGAGAGGAUGACCAGCCACACUGGAACUGAGACACGGUCCAG